UUUCAUACCAAAGUGCCAGAGCUAAGGUCAUCAUAAAACCAUGCCAUCCAGAGUUGUGUUUAAGAAAACAGUAAUUUAUCAAAUUUACCUUUAUUGAUUUUAGAACCUAAGAACCUGAAGUGUGGUAUGAAAUAAUUUAUCUCAGGCAGAAAUAUUCCUAGAAUCUCUACCACACAACUUCUCUGGCCCCAAGGACAGCAGAUGGGUUUCCUCACUGCAACAACUCCACAUUCUAGUAAUUCUGGAAAGGAAGUGUCCACCCACCAGCCAAUUGCCAUGUCUUUGGGGGCCAGAAGAGCCCUGAGUUCCUAUUGCAAGGCAACCACCUCCAUUUUCUACAAAAUCAAGAGAAGCUUCUAAAACAACAGCUACUAAGGAAAAAAAAAAUUUUUUUGGUAACACCUGCAGCAUAUGUAAGUUCCUGGGCCAGGGACUGAAUCUGAGCUGCGGCUGCAACCAACACCACACCUACGCCAACACCAGAUCUUUUAACCCACUGUGCAGGGCAGGGCCAGAGAUCGAACCUACAUUUCUGCAGAAACCUGAGCCACUACAGGAACUCCAGAAACAUUUUGUUUUUGAUCACCUAUGAUUUUUUAUUCUAAGGGUCAUGUGGCUUGGGCUGUUUUCCCAGGGGUAAAAUUGAGGUCGGAGUGAAUUAAGAAAUUCCUAUUUGCUAUCCACGAUCUCUGUAUCCAUACAACCUAAUAGCUACUUGAUUUACAAGUAUUUAAGAACUUUAGAGCAAAAUUCAUUCCUAACACAAAAAAAACAGACAUAAAAAACUCCUGGCAAUGGGUUAAGCUGAUGAAAGCAAGAUACUAGCCAGGCCCUUGGAAAAAUCUAUGACAAGAUAGGUAGCCAGUGACAAUUCUUUAAAUCAUUGCUUCCCAAUGCUGUCAUCUCACAACACUCAGGGAAAAUGGCACAGUGGGGUGAACUGGAGGAGAUGGGGUGGGGGAAUCCUUAUAUACUUAUGAUUUUAAAAUAAAACAGAAGUAUUAGGAAAGAUAUUAAGUAUUGAAAUAUUUUUAAACUUCCAAAUAAGAUAUUUUCAGAUUUUUAAUGCAAAAUCUCAGCUUUCUCUUUCAAAUACAACUUUUUCAUACAAGGUCUUAUGCAUAAAUUAACUAUAUAUACCUUCUGACGCAGGCUUUCUAACUCAUGAUCCCCAGAAUUCUUGGUCACUGUCAUUGACAAACUAUGCACCAGCAAGUGGUUAAUUUUUUAAACAUUUUACCACCAUCCAAAAAUUUAUAACCACUAAAGCUAUAUUUAGGGAAACUAAGCUCUUCCUCACUAUAACCACAUUAGAGUUACUGCAGUCAAAACAACCUUUCUCUCUUUACCUAUCUCUCCGACAUCAUCCUUUAACUUUCCACUGCCUGGAAAGCUCCAUUUCACUGAGGUCUCUUUACAGAGGGGACAGAGACUCACCUUCAUACCACACAAGGAUCACAAACAGAUGUCAAAAUGAAACUCCCCUAAAGGAUUUCAAACUCUAAAAUAUUCUGAAUCAAAUGCAACUUUUUUUUAAGGAAGUUUUAUACAUUACUUUUAAAUGAAUUUCUUUCAUCCUAUGGGGACUUUCAUGCACAUCAUCUUGAGAUCCUUAGGAUGAUUCUUUUAAGAAAAGGAUGAGAAGCUGAUACAGAUUUGUACUGGCCCAGAAUCACUGUACUAGUAAACAGUGAUCUCAGAUAUCCUGACUCAAGAGCCACUGUACUUCUUUGUCAUAUCUCUUAUACACCUGAAGUUAACCACCCAUGCCCUGUAGGCUCCCAACUAAAAAGCAGAAGGUCGUAGUAUAAACAGUGGCUAUUACCUUUGUGUCUCAAGGGUCUGAAGUCACUGUGGCCCAAAGUGGACAGACUUCAAAGGUGCCUGGGACUGUCCAGGAGAGAUCCUGCUAAAAGGGGCCUGGAUCCAGGGUAAGGUGGAGAAAACUACCCCCUUCCUUCGCCUCAGCUCUUUUUCCACUUCUUAUUUCUCCACUCUUCAGCCUUAUCACAGUCCUGCAUUUUCCUUUCUUCAAUGAGUAUGAAACCAAUGAAAAAUGAAUUUUUGAUUAAGGCAAUUUCAUAGAGUAAAGUAAUUCACUAAGGACCAGUAGGGUCUACACAUGAAGGAAGCCAGGACAGUUCAUCUAUGACUUAAGAACAUAAAGAGAGAAAGAAAGAUUAGUUUCUAUGCAGAUGAGCCACAGCCGUUAAGCACAUGCUGGCAGGGCCACCUCCUUUACCCUAACUUCCUCCAGCAUCUGUUACUCGAUGGGCCUCCAUCACAGACAGUACUGUGUUCCAGAAACGGCUACACAACCAGUUUUCUCCAUAUGGCUAAAAUGGGUCUGUAUCCACAGGUGUUAAAUUUUUAGGCCAGGCACUCUCAAAAUCUGGAUGGGCACAACACUUAUGUGAUCAUAUGAUUCCAGUACUGCAUUUCUUAUGCAUCACUGAAAAUAUGGGACAUUUCUGAAAAAAAAUUUUUUUAAAAAGAUUGUAGACUAAGGCUUAGGUUCAUUCCCACCUAUCUCUCAGCAGCUAUAUCCAGCUUCUCAGAAAGGAUAGCAUUGUAUAUUGAGCCUGUUGGAUUCCAUCUUUCUAAAUGAUUAAUUGGCACUGCCUCAAAUUCCUCUAUAAUUUUUGUUCUAGCAACUUUGUUUGGCAACUUUUGCCUCCAUGAAGUUUUUCCUCACCUUGGAUAUUCUCCUUCCGUGAGGUAAGAAGAGCAAAAAACACCCUGCUGGGUAGUCUCUUGCCUUCUUCAGCUCCAGUUCUUGGCAAGUCCCCUUUAUGCCCUUCAUGCCCUAAAGUCCUAGGUGAACCCCUCAAAAACUAAUAAAUCAAGAUUACUGUCCAGGUUGUUUAUACUGCAUUACUAUGUAAAGCCUUCUCUAAACAAAUCAAAAUGGAAUUAUACCACUAUCUCAAUUUCAUAUUUCCUAAUGAAGGGUUGAUGGUUGGUACCUCACGUGAAAACCCAACACUGGAAGCCACUAAUAACUAAUUCACGUAACUCAACUGUUGCAAGAGUUUGCCAAGGUUUUUCUAUUUUGGAAAUUAAGAUGUCUCACACCUUCAUCAUCUGGGUCAGGUGCAAACCUCAGAAAUCCUUUAGCUGUGAACACUAAAAAUUACAGUAAUAAGGAGUUCCCAUCGUGGCUCAGUGGUCAAUGAAUCCAACUAGGAACCAUGAGGUUGCUGGUUCGAUCCCUGGCCCUCACUCGGUAGGUUAGCGAUCCAGCGUUGCCGUGAGCUGUGGUGUGGGUCAAAGCCAAAGUUCAGAUCUGGCGUUGCUGUGGCUGUUGGUCUAGGCCAGCAGCUACAGCAACUCGGGAUCCGAGCCACGUCUGCGACCCACACCACAGCUCAUGGCAACGCAAUGCCAGAUCGUUAACCCAUUGAGCAAGGACAGGGAUGGAACCCACAACCUCAUGGUUCCUAGUCGGAUUCGUUAACCACUGCGCCACAACGGGAACUCCUUAAAUUCAUUUUUUAAUUUUAAUGAGUUGUUUCCAAUUUCAUACUCCCUGAAGUGGGAAACCCAUUAACUCAAGAAUAAGUCAGGCAAAAUGUGUCACACGUAAGGAAGUUUUUGCAUAGCUCUGCUUGUGUUAUUUUUUAUGAUUCCAAAUACAAAUUCCCACAGUCCUUGAACAGUAUUUUAUACUCAAUUUCACUUUCAGUAGGAUUAGGCAUAUGUGACCUCUCCUUCCUUUCUUAAGCACUUCUCUAGACUUCCCUGACUGUUGGGAUUUCUUUCAACCCCAUUAGCUGCUCCUUCUCAGCCUUCUUUGCUGAAUCCACCUCGUUUUCCUACCUUGAAAUUGUUAGUCUUACUCAGAGUUCAGUCAUAGACUUUCUCUCUGUCUCACACAUUCCUUAGGUAAACACAUGCACUCCUGAGAUUUUUAAGGCUAUUUCCUACUUGAAAUCCAAUACUGUAUCUCUGGCUUAACCUUCUAUAUCUCAACAUCUGCACUUGGAUGUGUUACAGAGAGCUUAACACAAAAGAUAUGAAAAGAAAAUUCAGGUGCUGAUUUAGAUUUAAGAAAAGUCUAGAAGGGCAACAUAUUUCUGUUUAUCCCUUGCUGCAGUAUCUCUCCAACAGCUUUUUUAAAAUUUUAUUGGGGUCUAUUGAAAUACAGUAAACUGCACAGUUUUACAAUGUAUAAUCUGAUUUGUUUUGACAAACAUACUUGUAAAACAAUCGCCACAAAGAUAAUACUUUAUCACCCUAAGAAGUUUUGUCCUCUCCUUUAGUAAUCCCUCCCUCCCUUUACUCUCAUUUACAGACAAUUAAUCUUCUUUCUGUCACUAUAGAUUAGUUUACAUUUUCCAGAGUUCUAUAUAAAUGGACUCAGAUGAAAUACACUCUUCUGUGCUUAGACUCUUUCACUCACUAUAAUGAUUUUUAUUGAAGUACAGGUGGUUUGUAAUAUUAUUUUACUUUCAGGUGUAUAAAAGAGUGCUUCAACAUUUUUAAAGGUUAUGCUCCAUUUAAAGUUCUUAAAAAUAAUGGCUGUAUUUCCCAGUAAUGUGCAAUACAGCCUUGUUUUUGCUUACUUAUUUUAUACAUAGUAAUUUCUAUUUCUUAAUCCCCUACCCCUAAUCUUGUCCCUCCCUCUUUUCCCUCUCCCCACUGAUAACCACUAAUUCAUUCUCAAUUAUCUUCACAUAAUAAUUCUGCGAUUCAUCCCUGUUACUCGUGUUCACGUGUUCACGGUUCAUUCCUUUUUAUUGAUGGGUAAUAUUCUGUUGUAUGGUCAUACCACAAUUUGUUUAUCCAUUCUCCUGUUAUGUCCAUUUGGGUUAUUUCUAGGUUGUGUUUGUUACAUAUAAAACUGCUAUCAUCAUUUGUGUACAGGUCUCUGUAUGGACUUAAUGCUUGUUUGUUUGUUUUCCUUAGGUAAAUACCAAGAUUGGAAUAGUCAGAUCAUACAGUAUAUACACCCGAAGUCUUUAAGAAACUGCUGAUUUAAGUUCAAGCUGGCAACAUAGGAGGCUCCUAACUCACAACUCCCAUGGACACAAUGAAUCUAGAGUCAUAUAUAGAACAAUUAGCUCUGAAAGAAAUCCAGAGACUAGCUGAGUAACUCCUACACAUUGGAUGAACAAGGAAAAUUUCCUCACAUUGAAAUGAGUAGGAGAGGCUGAUAAGCAAUGAGAUCCUGCUGUAUAGCACUGGGAACUACAUCUAGUCACUUAUGAUGGAACAUGAUAAUGUGAGAAAAAGAAUGUAUAUAUGUAUGUGUGACAGGGUCACCUUGCUGCACAGUAGAAAACUGACAGAACACUAUAAACCAGCUAUGAUGGGAAAAAAAAAAUCACUUAAAAACAGAAAAAAGAAAAAAAAAAGAAUGAGCAAUAUAUGAAUUAAUUAGUUCCACAGAUGAUUUUAAGUAUUUACUGCAUCUGACACAGUGCUGAAUGCUUGGCUUUGAUUAUUCUCUUGUCUAAAAAUCUCAAAUUAAUGAAGAGUAUAUAUACAGUGGGGUUUUUUGUUUGUUUGCUUGCUUCAAGUUAAUUGAAAUUUUCAAAAAAGCUCCCAUAACCUCCAUCAUGGGACUCAGCCUUAAGGGACACCUGAAACUUGAUAAAGACAUCUAUUAGAAAUAGCUUCCUCAUUAAUUUAACUAAGGCUUUCAAAUUUCAAUUUCUUCUUACAAUUCAAUUAAAGCUCUGCUUUUAUUAAACAAAGACCUCUCACAAAGAAAGAAAAGAAAGAAAGAAA
rnacentral:lncRNA from 1 species